GCGGCGGACCACUCCACUCUCUGGCCCGCCGUACAUCAAAAAGGAGGAUAAGCUGUCCCCGGGCUUGGGGUGCGGCAGUGUGGAGACCUGUCGUAAGGCGGCGCGUCCCUUUGCGGGCGGCCGCGAGGGCGUCACGGCGGAGGCCGGGCGUUCAAAGCCGGAACGUAUGGCA
rnacentral:ncRNA from 1 species